UACGUAGGUGGCAAGCGUUGUCCGGAUUUACUGGGCGUAAAGCGUGCGCAGGCGGUUUGCUAAGACAGGUGUGAAAUCCCCGGGCUUAACCUGGGAACUGCGCUUGUUACUGGCAGGCUUGAGUGUGGCAGGAGGGGGGUGGAAUUCCGACGUGUAGCAGUGAAAUGCGUAGAGAUGUGGAGGAACACCGAUGGCGAAGGCAGCCCCCUGGGCUAACACUGACGCUGAUGCGCGAAAGCCAGGGGAGCGAACGGG
rnacentral:rRNA from 1 species